ACUCUAAGCGGUGGAUCACUCGGCUCAUGGGUCGAUGAAGAACGCAGCAAACUGUGCGUCAUCGUGUGAACUGCAGGACACAUGAACAUCGACAUUUUGAACGCAUAUCGCAGUCCAUGCUGUUAUGUACUUUAAUUAAUUUUAUAGUGCUGCUUGGACUACAUAUGGUUGAGGGUUGUAAGACUAUGCUAAUUAAGUUGCUUAUAAAUUUUUAUAAGCAUAUGGUUAUAUUAUUGGAUAAAUAUAAUAAUUUUUAUUCAUAAUAUUAAAAAAUAAAUGAAAAACAUUAUCUCACAUUUGAAUGUGAAAAACGAAGAGAAAUAUUUUCUUUUUCAAUCAAAUAAUACUGAGAAAUGUCUAGCAUAAAAAAUUGAAAAUAUUUUUCAUCUAGAAUUGUCUCUUAUUAAUGAUUCGGAAAUAGAAAAAUCUUGGUUAUGUUAUUAUUCUUCGUUGGUUCGUUAAAAAUGGAUAAAUAAAAACUUUGCAUACAAGAAUUAAUAAAAAUGUUAUAACGAAUUUAAUUAAAUGUUUUAUCAUUAUAUAUAAAGAAUUUAUGGCAAGAUAAAGUUAUAUACAACCUCAACUCAUAUGGGACUACCCCCUGAAUUUAAGCAUAUUAAUUAGGGGAGGAAAAGAAACUAACAAGGAUUUUCUUAGUAGCGGCGAGCGAAAAGAAAACAGUUCAGCACUAAGUCACUUUGUCUAUAUGGCAAAUGUGAGAUGCAGUGUAUGGAGCGUCAAUAUUCUAGUAUGAGAAAUUAACGAUUUAAGUCCUUCUUAAAUGAGGCCAUUUACCCAUAGAGGGUGCCAGGCCCGUAUAACGUUAAUGAUUACUAGAUGAUGUUUCCAAAGAGUCGUGUUGCUUGAUAGUGCAGCACUAAGUGGGUGGUAAACUCCAUCUAAAACUAAAUAUAACCAUGAGACCGAUAGUAAACAAGUACCGUGAGGGAAAGUUGAAAAGAACUCUGAAUAGAGAGUUAAACAGUACGUGAAACUGCUUAGAGGUUAAGCCCGAUGAACCUGAAUAUCCGUUAUGGAAAAUUCAUCAUUAAAAUUGUAAUAUUUAAAUAAUAUUAUGAGAAUAGUGUGCAUUUUUUCCAUAUAAGGACAUUGUAAUCUAUUAGCAUAUACCAAAUUUAUCAUAAAAUAUAACUUAUAGUUUAUUCCAAUUAAAUUGCUUGCAUUUUAACACAGAAUAAAUGUUAUUAAUUUGAUAAAGUGCUGAUAGAUUUAUAUGAUUACAGUGCGUUAAUUUUUCGGAAUUAUAUAAUGGCAUAAUUAUCAUUGAUUUUUGUGUUUAUUAUAUGCACUUGUAUGAUUAACAAUGCGAAAGAUUCAGGAUACCUUCGGGACCCGUCUUGAAACACGGACCAAGGAGUCUAACAUAUGUGCAAGUUAUUGGGAUAUAAACCUAAUAGCGUAAUUAACUUGACUAAUAAUGGGAUUAGUUUUUUAGCUAUUUAUAGCUAAUUAACACAAUCCCGGGGCGUUCUAUAUAGUUAUGUAUAAUGUAUAUUUAUAUUAUUUAUGCCUCUAACUGGAACGUACCUUGAGCAUAUAUGCUGUGACCCGAAAGAUGGUGAACUAUACUUGAUCAGGUUGAAGUCAGGGGAAACCCUGAUGGAAGACCGAAACAGUUCUGACGUGCAAAUCGAUUGUCAGAAUUGAGUAUAGGGCGAAAGACCAAUCGAACCAUCUAGUAGCUGGUUCCUUCCGAAGUUUCCCUCAGGAUAGCUGGUGCAUUUUAAUAUUAUAUAAAAUAAUCUUAUCUGGUAAAGCGAAUGAUUAGAGGCCUUAGGGUCGAAACGAUCUUAACCUAUUCUCAAACUUUAAAUGGGUAAGAACCUUAACUUUCUUGAUAUGAAGUUCAAGGUUAUGAUAUAAUGUGCCCAGUGGGCCACUUUUGGUAAGCAGAACUGGCGCUGUGGGAUGAACCAAACGUAAUGUUACGGUGCCCAAAUUAACAACUCAUGCAGAUACCAUGAAAGGCGUUGGUUGCUUAAAACAGCAGGACGGUGAUCAUGGAAGUCGAAAUCCGCUAAGGAGUGUGUAACAACUCACCUGCCGAAGCAACUAGCCCUUAAAAUGGAUGGCGCUUAAGUUGUAUACCUAUACAUUACCGCUAAAGUAGAUGAUUUAUAUUACUUGUGAUAUAAAUUUUGAAACUUUAGUGAGUAGGAAGGUACAAUGGUAUGCGUAGAAGUGUUUGGCGUAAGCCUGCAUGGAGCUGCCAUUGGUACAGAUCUUGGUGGUAGUAGCAAAUAAUCGAAUGAGACCUUGGAGGACUGAAGUGGAGAAGGGUUUCGUGUGAACAGUGGUUGAUCACGAGUUAGUCGGUCCUAAGUUCAAGGCGAAAGCCGAAAAUUUCAAGUAAAACAAAAAUGCCUAACUAUAUAAACAAAGCGAAUUAUAAUACACUUGAAUAAUUUGAACGAAAGGGAAUACGGUUCCAAUUCCGUAACCUGUUGAGUAUCCGUUUGUUAUUAAAUAUGGGCCUCGUGCUCAUCCUGGCAACAGGAACGACCAUAAAGAAGCCGUCGAGAGAUAUCGGAAGAGUUUUCUUUUCUGUUUUAUAGCCGUACUACCAUGGAAGUCUUUCGCAGAGAGAUAUGGUAGAUGGGCUAGAAGAGCAUGACAUAUACUGUUGUGUCGAUAUUUUCUCCUCGGACCUUGAAAAUUUAUGGUGGGGACACGCAAACUUCUCAACAGGCCGUACCAAUAUCCGCAGCUGGUCUCCAAGGUGAAGAGUCUCUAGUCGAUAGAAUAAUGUAGGUAAGGGAAGUCGGCAAAUUAGAUCCGUAACUUCGGGAUAAGGAUUGGCUCUGAAGAUUGAGAUAGUCGGGCUUGAUUGGGAAACAAUAACAUGGUUUAUGUGCUCGUUCUGGGUAAAUAGAGUUUCUAGCAUUUAUGUUAGUUACUUGUUCCCCGGAUAGUUUAGUUACGUAGCCAAUUGUGGAACUUUCUUGCUAAAAUUUUUAAGAAUACUAUUUGGGUUAAACCAAUUAGUUCUUAUUAAUUAUAACGAUUAUCAAUUAACAAUCAAUUCAGAACUGGCACGGACUUGGGGAAUCCGACUGUCUAAUUAAAACAAAGCAUUGUGAUGGCCCUAGCGGGUGUUGACACAAUGUGAUUUCUGCCCAGUGCUCUGAAUGUCAAAGUGAAGAAAUUCAAGUAAGCGCGG
rnacentral:rRNA from 1 species